UACGUAGGCAGCGAGCGUUGUUCGGAAUUACUGGGCGUAAAGAGUGUGUAGGCGGUGCUCCCAGUCUGUUGUGAAAUCUCCCGGCUUAACUGGGAGGGUGCAGCGGAAACUAGAGUGCUAGAGGGUGGGAGAGGUAAGCGGAAUUCCUGGUGUAGCGGUGAAAUGCGUAGAUAUCAGGAGGAACACCUGUGGUGUAGACGGCUUACUGGACCAUGACUGACGCUGAGGCACGAAAGCGUGGGGAGCAAACAGG
rnacentral:rRNA from 1 species